UCCUUGGGUGACGAGUGGCGGACGGGUGAGUAAUGUCUGGGAAACUGCCCGAUGGAGGGGGAUAACUACUGGAAACGGUAGCUAAUACCGCAUAACGUCGCAAGACCAAAGAGGGGGACCUUCGGGCCUCUUGCCAUCGGAUGUGCCCAGAUGGGAUUAGCUAGUAGGUGGGGUAACGGCUCACCUAGGCGACGAUCCCUAGCUGGUCUGAGAGGAUGACCAGCCACACUGGAACUGAGACACGGUCCAGACUCCUACGGGAGGCAGCAGUGGGGAAUAUUGCACAAUGGGCGCAAGCCUGAUGCAGCCAUGCCGCGUGUAUGAAGAAGGCCUUCGGGUUGUAAAGUACUUUCAGCGAGGAGGAAGGCGUUGUGGUUAAUAACCGCAGCGAUUGACGUUACUCGCAGAAGAAGCACCGGCUAACUCCGUGCCAGCAGCCGCGGUAAUACGGAGGGUGCAAGCGUUAAUCGGAAUUACUGGGCGUAAAGCGCACGCAGGCGGUCUGUCAAGUCGGAUGUGAAAUCCCCGGGCUCAACCUGGGAACUGCAUCCGAAACUGGCAGGCUAGAGUCUUGUAGAGGGGGGUAGAAUUCCAGGUGUAGCGGUGAAAUGCGUAGAGAUCUGGAGGAAUACCGGUGGCGAAGGCGGCCCCCUGGACAAAGACUGACGCUCAGGUGCGAAAGCGUGNGGAGCAAACAGGAUUAGAUACCCUGGUAGUCCACGCC
rnacentral:rRNA from 1 species